CCCUUAGAUGUUCUGGGCCGCACGCGCGCUACACUGACGAUGGCAACGAGUUUUUCCUUCGCCGAAAGGUGUGGGUAAUCUUUUGAAACAUCGUCGUGCUGGGGAUAGAUCAUUGCAUUUUUUGAUCUUGAACGAGGAAUUCCUAGUAAGCGCGAGUCAUCAGCUCGCGUUGAUUACGUCCCUGCCCUUUGUACACACCGCCCGUCGCUACUACCGAUUGAAUGGUUUAGUGAGGACUCCUGAUUGGCGCCGCCGCCCCGGCAACGGAGCAGCGGACUGCCGAAAAGUUGUUCAAACUUGAUCAUUUAGAGGAAGUAAAAGUCGUAACA
rnacentral:rRNA from 1 species